rnacentral:rRNA from 1 species
AGUGAACGCUGGCGGUAGGCCUAACACAUGCAAGUCGAACGGCAGCACAGUAAGAGCUUGCUCUUACGGGUUUCGAUUGUCUGCCGGGUGAUGACUACCUCGGAAUCUACUUUUUCGUGGGGGAUAACGUAGGGCAACUUACGCUACUACCGCAUACGCCCUACGGGUGAAAGCAGGGGAUCUUCGGACCUUGCGCGAUUGAAUGAGCCGAUGUCGGAUUAGCUAGUUGGCGGGGUAAAGGCCCACCAAGGCGACGAUCCGUAGCUGGUCUGAGAGGAUGAGCAGCCACACUGGAACUGAGACACGGUCCAGACGCCUACGGGAGGCAGCAGUGGGGAAUAUUGGACAAAGGGCGCAAGCCUGAUCCAGCCAUACCGCGGGGGUGAAGAAGGCCGUCGGGUUGUAAAGCCCUUUUGUUGGGAAAGAAAAGCAGCAGGUUAAUACCCCGCUGUUCUGACGGUACCCAAAGAAUAAGCACCGGCUAACUUCGUG